rnacentral:rRNA from 1 species
AGAACGAACGUUGGCGGCGUGGAUUAGGCAUGCAAGUCGUACGGGAUCCGGGGGCAACUCCGGAUUUAGUGGCGAACGGGUGAGUAACGCGUGGGAAACCUGCCCUAGAGACCGGGAUAACACUCCCAACGGGGUGCUAAUACCGGAUAAGACCACGGGGCUGCAUGGCCCUGAGGUCGAAGGUGGCCUCUACUUGUAAGCUACCGCUCAAGGAUGGUCCCGCGUCCCAUUAGCUUGUUGGCGGGGUAAUGGCCCACCAAGGCGACGAUGGGUAGCUGGUCUGAGAGGAUGGUCAGCCACACUGGGACUGAGAUACGGCCCAGACUCCUACGGGAGGCAGCAGUCGAGAGGCUUCGGCAAUGGGGGAAACCCUGACCGAGCGACGCCGCGUGGGCGAUGAAGGCCGUUAGGUUGUAAAGCCCUGUCGUGCGGGAAGAAACGCAGGUGGGUAAACAAUCCAUCUGUCUGACGGUACCGCGAAAGGAAGCUCCGGCCAACUCCGUGCCAGCAGCCGCGGUAAUACGGGGGGAGCGAACGUUGUUCGGAAUUACUGGGCGUAAAGGGCGUGCAGGCGGCCUUGUAAGUGGAAUGUGAAAUGCCCUGGCUCAACCAGGGAACUGCAUCCCAUACUGCAAGGCUUGAGUAUAGGAGAGGAUGGGGGAGUUCCCGGUGUAGCGGUGAAAUGCAUUGAUAUCGGGAGGAACACCAGUGGCGAAAGCGCCCAUCUGGCCUAAUACUGACGCUCAGCGCGAAAGCUAGGGGAGCAAACAGGAUUAGAUACCCUGGUAGUCCUAGCCGUAAACCGUGGGCACUAGUGUAGGAGCAUCGACCCCUCCUGUGCCGCAGCUACCGCAUUAAGUGCC